rnacentral:Y_RNA from 1 species
GGCUGGUCUGAAGGUAGUAGGUUACCUCAAUUGAUUGUUCACAGUCAGUUACAGAGUAAACUGUUUGCUCUGCUCUUUCACCACUUCUUACUACUGCAUGUGACUGGUGAAUA